rnacentral:misc_RNA from 1 species
GCAUAGUAAAUCUCAAUCUCUCCCUCUCUCUCUCCCUCUCAAGAUCCCAAUCCUUCUAACCCAAGAGAAGAAAAAAAAAAUAAUAACCCAGAAAGAGAAAAUGGAAUUGAUUAAUGGUUUUAAUCUGAGGACUCAUCAUGGGUGGUCGUCCCUGUGGUUGUUCCACUAUGUUCUUGAUCAACAGUCCCCUGUUUCACCAUCUCAACACCACCACCGCUACAAUUCUCUGAUUUCUCACUGUUUUGGCUGCAAGAACAGCUCUUUGCACUGCCAGUGUCACCAAAAGAAGAUGACCUACUAGACAUUGGUGCAGCCAGGAAAGUUGGCUUAACUUCUCCAGCCAUAAUCACUAAUAUCUUCUCUUCAAAGGCUACGGGUUGCUGUUUCUGACCUUCGCCAGUCUUAUUUGAUCCCUCACCUGCCUCGAGGUCCCUUUCGCCUCCUUCGUUGCCGUUUUCCAGGUAACCAGAUAGCUUCCAGUAGGAACAAGCGAGAAUCAAGAGAGCAAAAGCAAUCAAACCAAGCAUGGCAGCUAAGCCACCAAACAAGUAGGGAACAGGUGAAUGCCACGGAGAGUGGUUUCCGACCGCCGGCUUUGGAGCUCUGGCAGUGACGUUGAAGGGCUCUCUCCCUGCCAUUUUUUUUAAUGUAGAGAGAAGGAAAAAGGAGGA